rnacentral:rRNA from 1 species
CCUACGGGAGGCUGCAGUGGGGAAUAUUGCACAAUGGGGGAAACCCUGAUGCAGCAACGCCGCGUGAGUGAUGACGGCCUUCGGAUCGUAAACCUCUGUCAGCAGGGAAGAACGGUCACUGUGCUAAUCAGCAGUGAAUUGACGGUACCUGCAAAGGAAGCACCGGCUAACUCCGUGCCAGCAGCCGCGGUAAUACGGAGGGUGCGAGCGUUAAUCGGAAUUACUGGGCGUAAAGCGCUCGUAGGCGGUAUGUCAAGUCAAGGGUGAAAUCCCCGCGCUCAACGUGGGAACUGCCUUUGAAACUGGCAAACUGGAGUGUGUGAGAGGAUAGUGGAAUUCCAGGUGUAGGAGUGAAAUCCGUAGAUAUCUGGAGGAACAUCAGUGGCGAAGGCGACUAUCUGGCACAUAACUGACGCUGAGGAGCGAAAGCGUGGGUAGCAAACAGGAUUAGAUACCCCUGUAGUC